AACAACCUGGAGACAACCUCCGGGGUAUGCUGGACCUGCUUUCUUGGAAGAGGGCGUAGGAGCUGGUGUAGAGGACUUGCCUGGAGCUGAGCCUUCUGUGUCUACCACUGCUGGUGCUCAAGGGGCAACAGAUGACUUUGCCAUGGUUUCUACACAGCUGGGAUAAAAUGGGCAGGGAGGCCACGUGUGAGAAUGACCAGCAGCUGAGAGAGGAGAACUUGGAGUGACCACCAAGAUGCUUAAGGUGUUCCCUGGGCUUGAUAUUUUCAAGGACUUUCCCAAGGAGACAGACACCUUCACGCCUGUGUACUGUGACCUGACUCACGGCAGGAAAUGAAUGGAAUUGGAGGAGACCACGUUAAGUGAAAUAAGCCGCACGGAAAGACGAGUACGGCACGUUCUCUCACGUAGAAGCUAAAAAACGGUUGACCUGGAAGUAGAACAGCCAUUAGUAGAGGUUGGGAAGAGGGAGAGGAAGUAGAUAA